UCCGUAGGUGAACCUGCGGAAGGAUCAUUAUUGAAGUCUGGUUGUUGCUGGCCUUUUUCUCGGCAUGUGCACGCCUUAUUCAAACCCACCUGUGCACCUUUUGUAGACAGACUUUGUUUUGUCUAUCAAUCAUUUACUCCCGUGUAAUCAGAAUGUUAUUGAUUGGCCUCAGUGCCUUUAAUCAAAUAUUAUACAACUUUCAGCAACGGAUCUCUUGGCUCUCGCAUCGAUGAAGGACGCAGCGAAACGCGAUAAGUAAUGUGAAUUGCAGACACGUGAAUCAUCGAAUCUUUGAACGCACCUUGCGCUCCUUGGUGAUCUGAGGAGCAUGCCUGUUUGAGUGUCAUUAAAUUCUCAACCUAACCAACUUUUGGAUAGGCUUGGAUUGUGGGGGCUUUUGCUGGCUUCAACCCCUCAGAAGUCAGCUCCCCUUAAACGCAUUAGUGGAACGAUUUGUUGACCUUGUUUCCUGGUGUGAUAAAACCUUUAUCACCACCGUGUGCAGUCAGCUUACUCUGCUUCUAACCGAUUUUCAUUCACUCUUGACCAUUUGACCUCAAAUCAGGUAGGACUACCCGCUGAAUUUAAGCAUAUCAAUAAGCGGAGGA
rnacentral:rRNA from 1 species